rnacentral:rRNA from 1 species
CAAGUCGAACGCGAAAGGGACUUCGGUCCGUGAGUAAAGUGGCGCGACGGGUGAGUAACGCGUAGAUAACCCUGUCUUCGAUGUCUGGAAUAAUACGCCGAAAGGGGUACUAAUACCGGAUAUUCUUGCUUUUUCAGUAAGUUAUGCAAGCAAAGGUGGCCUCCUGCAUAUGCUACUGCAUGAAGAGGGGUCGUGCGUACCAUUAGCUAGUAGGUGGGGUAAUGGCCUACCUAGGCGACGAUGGUUAGCGGGUCUGAGAGGGUGGACGGCCACACUGGGACUGAGAACGGCCCAGACUCCUACGGGAGGCAGCAGUGGGGAAUAUUGCGCAAUGGGGGAAACCCUGACGCAGCGACGCCGCGUGAGCGAAGAAGGCCUUCGGGUUGUAAAGCUCUGUUGUAAGGGACGAAUGUCUAGGGUAGUAACUGACCUUAGAAUGACGGUACCUUACCAGCAACGCCCCGGCUAACUACGUGCCAGCCGCUGC